GAAAACUUUGGUACAUGUUUUCGCUGUUCUAUUUUGCUCAUUGCUUACAUUUGUGGUAUGCAUGCAUCUACAAUUGCUAUUUUCUUUUCCCAAUUAGUAUAUCUUCUUGUUGUUUUUAUACUUAUGUACUUAAUUAAGAGCUCUGGUAUAUGACAACAAGAUCAAAAUUUCAAAUUAACAGUAAAGAUUAUAAAAACAAUUAUAUGAUUUCUUCACAUAUGUUUAAGAUUUGGUAGGUUGAAUUAACCGAUACCUAUGGUAUGGGAGGUACUUUAAUACGCACUGACUGAUUCAAAUCUCACAGUAACCAACAAAGAAGAAAAAUAAAAUUGGAGCAAAUCCCGAUUGUGCUCCGCUAUCAAAAAGCUAUAUACACACAUAAACACUUACAUAUACAGGCACAAUCAUGAUCUUUCAUUUUCUUCUUAGAACACUCUCUUUAUUGUGAAUUUAUUCGACGCAAACUUGAAUAUCAUCAAAUGUUUUCUAUUUAUAUAUGAAUCAAUAAUAUUAAUUCUAUAACACUCAAAAAUAUAUAUGCUGCUUGAUUUUCAGGCAUGUUCGUGACGGCACAGGUUUUCCCAACGAAUGCUCAAAACGUAUGUGCCAAAUAUAUUGAUGGUUAUGCUCCUUGUCAACAUGAAUUACCACUUUGCCAAAAACAAUGUCAGCAACUUUUUGGACAACGUUAUAUUAGGUCAAUUUGUCUGGAUCAAGGCAUAGGGGAUUCUCUUUGUGCGUGUAUCUACAACAAUGGUAAACUCCCUUGCAAACAUAAUUAGAUUUAAAGGAGAAGGGUUGUUACUACUCGAAAAAAAUCAAGAAAAUGGGAUUACUAUUGGAUGAUGUUACCCAAGAUUGAAU
rnacentral:lncRNA from 1 species